GCAAACCUCGUCUAAUUACAUAGACAUUCUUGGUGAAUGGCAGAAGGCGGCACCAUUAACAAAGGUACGGUUAGUCGGUGAAUUGUCGAAGGGUAUCAGUCUUUUAACGGGAUGUGACAGACACAGGAAUGGGCAAAUAGAAGGGAGUGUGUUUUUGGCGGGGUUGACGAGGAUUAAAAGAAAACAUGUUUGCUUUCCGAUGAACUUGGACACAUUCUACCCGUUUGAUCAAAUAGUGUAUACUUUAGCUCCUUUGUGCCUCUUUGAAAAUAAUUAAGCGGGCCAACCUUGACUCUUGUUUUGUGCUUGUUCUCUUCACAGAACCACCAAGAAGAUGACGAAAAACAAAACUCAUAAAUUCAAAUCGAUCAAAAACAAACUCCACAAUCCCCCGCCCCCGCAUCGGCGGUACCUGCAUGGGGAAGUCGUCGCAGGCUCCAUCACCAUCAUCCUCUCCGAGGCGAUGCUCCUCUCGCACCUGAAAGAGUAGGAUCUCUUCACCAUGAAGUCUCUGGAUCGAUCGUCCGACCCCGGGUUCACCCUCCUGGGGGACGGCUCCUCCCUAGUCUCUCCAACAGCCGAAGAGGAGGGGGGCAGCUAUGGAACCCCUACCCCCAACCCAACGGACCUCUGUCCCAUUCCAUCUUCUGCCACCACCGCAGCAGCUGCUUCCAGUCUGCUCCGCCUCUUUCCUCAGUAAGAUUUGGCUUCUCAAUUCGACAACCAUCUCGGCAACCUCUGCUUAUCUCUGGUAAAUUCCGACCCAUAUAAUGCUGCGAAAGUCCCAAUCCAAUUUGAUUGAUAAUGACCCAUGAAGGCCUUAGCCCCAUCGCCAAUGCCCAAUUGAUUUUCCUAUACUCUACAUACAUCAUCAUCUCCAUGGAGGACACAUAAGGAAAUUCGAUACACUCUUACACAGACACUUCUAUCAUGCUUCUUGUUUGGGCAUCCGACGGAGCUCUCGGGUCGCCUGAGAGCCCUUCUUGCAGGUAAGAGACGACGGCAGAAGUCGGGAGGAGCAAUCCAAAGAUUUUUUCAGCAUCAUCCCCAAUCAGAAGCUGCAAACUACUCGAGCCAGCAGCCCCCUUAUGUUAUUAUUUAGUUUUUUAAUAAAGAAAAAUAAUAAAGGACUAAUUUCCUUGAAAGAGUGGCGGCAUAACAUCCGAUUGCCCGGAAACAUCAUGCAUGUUCCCCUGAUAUUAAUAGUAUUUCUCCACAGGAGAGGGCCUUCGUCGAACCUGAUGCCCGGUGGUGGCUGGGUCCCUCCUAGCUAUUGUAGCCAUUGCUGAUGGAGACACAUGUGCUUUCCUGUUAGUGCAAUAUAAUUUCCUUUCUUUUUCCCA